rnacentral:misc_RNA from 1 species
GUUCCCCAAAGCGGUGGAUUUCUUGAUAAGGGAGAAGCGGCAUUAAAUGCCUCACACGCCCUCCUACUCUCCUUAAAAUAUUCGUCUGCAGCUUGCAAAGCAGCUACAGCCAUCCCAUGAGAUUUCUCCGUGUUCCCCUCGUCAAGGAUCCAAGCCAUGAUAAUAAUAUGCUGCCGCCUUUGCUUCCACGUAUUUCCACUUUACAAAAAGUCUGUGCUUUUCCCCCCAUCCAUUUGCUAAUGGAAGAUUCAUUAUAUUAUCUNNNNNAUUAUCUUGAGCCUGCUGCCAGUACUUUACCAUCUCACAUGCAAGCCUCCGCUUCACAGCUAGAGUAGCUUUAGCACUAUCAAUUGCCAUCCCAAGUUGGAUAUCAACAACCUGCCCCAAUGCUUGCAGGGAAAGUGCUCUAAGAACUCCUUCUACCAAAUCCACGGGCAAAUCUCUCCUUAGUGCAGCAGGAAACUGUGGGAGCACAUGACGGAC